ACGGAAGGCAGCAGUGGGGAAUAUUGCGCAAUGGGCGAAAGCCUGACGCAGCGACGCCGCGUGAGGGAUGAAGGUCUUCGGAUCGUAAACCUCUGUCAGAAGGGAAGAAGUUACAUGGGGCUAAUCACUCAUGUAUUGACGGUACCUUCAAAGGAAGCACCGGCUAACUCCGUGCCAGCAGCCGCGGUAAUACGGAGGGUGCAAGCGUUAAUCGGAAUUACUGGGCGUAAAGCGCUCGUAGGCUGUCUUGCAAGUCAAGGGUGAAAUCCCCGUGCUCAACAUGGGAACUGCCUUUGAAACUGCAGGACUUGAGUAUGUGAGAGGAUAGCGGAAUUCCGGGUGUAGCAGUGAAAUGCGUAGAUAUUCGGAAGAACAUCAGUGGCGAAGGCGGCUAUCUGGCACAAAACUGACGCUGAGGAGCGAAAGCGUGGGUAGCAAACAGGAUUAGAUACCCUGGUA
rnacentral:rRNA from 1 species